GCAGCAGUAGCUCAACGUUAAGAGCACCGGCCUUGUAAACCGAUGGUUGAGGGUUUAAAUCCUUCCUGCUGCU
rnacentral:tRNA from 1 species